rnacentral:rRNA from 1 species
CUGGUCUCACAUGACAUACCGCAAUUAAGUGUGAAACCGCGAAUGGCUCAUUAAAUCAGUUAUGGUUCCUUAGAUUGUACCCACAUUUACUUGGAUAACUGUGGUAAUUCUAGAGCUAAUACAUGCAAACCAGAGUCCCGACCAGAGAUGGGAGGGACGCUUUUAUUAGAUCAAAACCAAUCGGUGGCUCGUCCAUCGUUUACUUUGGUGACUCUGAAUAACUUUCAGCUGAUCGCAUGGUCUCGCACCGGCGACAAAUCUUUCAAAUGUCUGCCUUAUCAACUGUCGAUGGUAGGUUCUGCGCCUACCAUGGUUGUAACGGGUAACGGGGAAUCAGGGUUCGAUUCCGGAGAGGGAGCCUGAGAAACGGCUACCACAUCCAAGGAAGGCAGCAGGCGCGCAAAUUACCCACUCCCGGCACGGGGAGGUAGUGACGAAAAAUAACGAUACGGGACUCAUCCGAGGCCUCGUAAUCGGAAUGAGUACACUUUAAAUCCUUUAACGAGGAUCCAUUGGAGGGCAAGUCUGGUGCCAGCAGCCGCGGUAAUUCCAGCUCCAAUAGCGUAUAUUAAAGUUGUUGCGGUUAAAAAGCUCGUAGUUGAAUCUGUGUGCCACACUGUCGGUUCAYUGCUCGCAGUGUAAACUGGCAUGCUUGUGGGACGUCCUACCGGUGGGCUUAGCUUUGGUGUAACAGCUGAAGCGGUCCAAUAAUCCUGUCGCGGUGCUCUUAAUUGAGUGUCGAGAUGGGCCGGUACGUUUACUUUGAACAAAUUAGAGUGCUCAAAGCAGGCUAAUUUUGCCUGAAUACUGGUGCAUGGAAUAAUAGAAUAGGACCUCGGUUCUAUUUUGUUGGUUUUCGGAACUCCGAGGUAAUGAUUAAUAGGGACAGAUGGGGGCAUUCGUAUUGCGACGUUAGAGGUGAAAUUCUUGGAUCGUCGCAAGACGAACAGAAGCGAAAGCAUUUGCCAAAAAUGUUUUCAUUAAUCAAGAACGAAAGUUAGAGGUUCGAAGGCGAUCAGAUACCGCCCUAGUUCUAACCAUAAACGAUGCCAGCUAGCGAUCCGCCGAAGUUCCUCCGAUGACUCGGCGGGCAGCUUCCGGGAAACCAAAGCUUUUGGGUUCCGGGGGAAGUAUGGUUGCAAAGCUGAAACUUAAAGGAAUUGACGGAAGGGCACCACCAGGAGUGGAGCCUGCGGCUUAAUUUGACUCAACACGGGAAACCUCACCAGGCCCGGACACCGGAAGGAUUGACAGAUUGAUAGCUCUUUCUUGAUUCGGUGGGUGGUGGUGCAUGGCCGUCCG